AAUAGAUACCCGGGUAGUCCACGCCGUAAACGAUGAGUGCUAAGUGUUAGAGGGUUUCCGCCCUUUAGUGCUGCAGCUAACGCAUUAAGCACUCCGCCUGGGGAGUACGGCCGCAAGGCUGAAACUCAAAGGAAUUGACGGGGGCCCGCACAGGCGGUGGAGCAUGUGGUUUAAUUCGAAGCAACGCGAAGAACCUUACCAGGUCUUGACAUCCUCUGCCAACCCUAGAGAUAGGGCGUUCCCCUUCGGGGGACAGAGUGACAGGUGGUGCAUGGUUGUCGUCAGCUCGUGUCGUGAGAUGUUGGGUUAAGUCCCGCAACGAGCGCAACCCUUGAUCUUAGUUGCCAGCAUUCAGUUGGGCACUCUAAGGUGACUGCCGGUGACAAACCGGAGGAAGGUGGGGAUGACGUCAAAUCAUCAUGCCCCUUAUGACCUGGGCUACACACGUGCUACAAUGGAUGGUACAAAGAGCUGCAAACCCGCGAGGGUAAGCGAAUCUCAUAAAGCCAUUCUCAGUUCGGAUUGUAGG
rnacentral:rRNA from 1 species